CAUGUCAAGGUACCACCAAUCAGAUUUUCCUCCCUCUCAUUCUCGUCCACUCUCUUUCUCACUUUUGACUUUUCCUUCUUUCUCUUCAUAAUAUCUUUCUUUCUUCUUCUUCUGCAGACUUCUCUUUUUCUUCUUCCUUCUUUCAUUUCUUUUGCUGAAGCACCCACACCACCAUGGUACCUCUCACUCACCUCCCCUUCUCCCCCUCCACAAGAUGCCACCGCUGGUCACCAUCACCAUUUCUUCUUCCUCUCAACACCACCGUCCCUCCUCCUCACCAUGGUUGUUAUGUCCAGCCAAGAGGCCACCAUUAUCACGUCCCUCUUCUUUCUCUCCUUGGCCACCACGAGGAGGCCAGCACCACAAGGAACACGUACAACCCCAUUCAUCAUAUGGUAUUGUUCAAGUUUCAUCAUCCAUAUCAUGACAAGGAGACACCAUCACCAUGCCACUUUACUUCCUCAUGUGGGUACGAAUAAUGGAGACGCAUGGCGACGAAGCCAAAGAACAAACGGAAGUGAGCCAACACGGGAAAGCAAAGAUAUGAUUGGAUUGGAAUUGAGUCGCAACUUAGUAAGGAAAGCGCCUAAGGCAUCGAGAAUAGUGGAGCUUCUCGCAAGGGUUAGUCGGAGGAGCUAGUCUUUUAUUUAUAUUUUAGUUAUAAGAGUCAUGCUCUGUUAUGUAACACGAGGAAGCGUUUAGGAUUGUACCUGGAUGUUAAGAGAUACUACGUGUAUUCUCUUUAUUUAUUUUUGAAUUAUGUUAAAUUCUGGAGUUGAAAUAAAUCCACUGUGCUAUGCAUAUGAUGCUGAGACAUCAAAGUUGAAAUUUUACAUCUAAAUUAUGAGCAUGACAUGUGUUUUGAUUUA